AGAAAAAAAAGAUUCCCCUAAGUCGGUACUUGGAAUGUGAGAUGGAGCUACUCAGCCAGUUAUUUCAUUAUUGAAUAAACAUGAAUCAUUUAACAGAUGAAGUGAGUGCUUACUGUGGUCUCAAUAGUGGACCGUGUCACAUAAAAAUGUAAGAUGUGGCCUUGUCCUCAAGGAGUAAGCAUUUGAACUAAUAAAGCCAAAUAAUGGAAGUGAAUUUUAAUUUAGCUUCCAUUUUCUAGGUAAUUUCUCAGGUCUUUAGUUUGUGACUUUAGAUUCUUAGUUUUCCUGAGUCGUUUAGAACUUGCUGAAGACGCCUUCUCAGCUGAGCCUAUUAUAUUGACGACACUGGGUUUUGUUGUUGUCGUUUUGUUUGUUUUUAAUCCCAAAGGUGCUGUUAAAAUUGCUCUCUGAAAAUAUUUAAGACAUUUUUAUUUCAGAUGCAACUUAGUCUCUGAUAUGCUAUUAAUAUUGACCUGCAAUUUUUGUUGUGAAUAAGCCUUUGCAGUGAGGCCCAUAGAUGAUUUACUGUGAGAGUAAUUGGGAAUUCAUUCUGCCCCAAUUGGCAUGGCCUCUAUUUCAUUGUGUUCUUUAAAAAAAAAACAAAAACAACAACGAAAAACAUCACUACUGAGCUAGAAAUUAAGAACAUAAAUCCGAGUUUUCUUUCAAAACAAUUUUACCAAGUUUAGGUUUGCAAGAGCCCCACUUUAUAAUAAUUCACUCAACUUAUUAUUUCGUCUUCCAGUAGAUCAUUAUGAAGUGACAUCAUUUAUUACAGAUAAACUAGGCUUACUUUUUCUAAAAAGUUAUAUUCAGAGACAUCUCCAAAUUAAAUUGUAAUUUUCAAAUCACUAUGAGAUGUAAAAUGCUUUGCCUGAGGCUGAGAUUCGGAGGUGGGUAAGUCAAUUCUUGCUUUAAAUGAGCAUUCAACCUAGUGAGGAAGAGAUUUUUGUCAAAGAGUAAACCUCUUUUUUUUAAUUUUGAGAUAGAGUCUCACUCUGUCACCCAGACCCGAGUGCAGUGGCACAAUCUCGGCACACUGCAAUGUCCACCACCUGGGAUCAAGUUAUUCUCCUGCCUCAGCCUCCAAAGUAGCUGGGAUUACAGGUGUGUGUCACCAUGCCCAGCUAAUUUUCUUUUUUUUUGUAUUUUUAGUAGCGACAGGGUUUCACCAUGUUGGCUAGGCUGCUCUGAAACUCCUGACCUCAAAUGAUCUGCCCACUGCAGCCUCCCAAAGUGCUGGGAUUACAGGUGUGAGCCACUGCACCCAGCGAGUAAACCUCUUAAAACCUGAUAUGGUGGUUCUUGCCUGUAAUCCCAGCUACUCAGGAGGCUGAUGCUGGAGGGUUGCUUGAGGCCAGGAGCACACAAGUAAAAGACUGUCAUCAAGACAAGGAAUGAGAGGAUGCCAAGUAAAUUCAUAGAAGAGUAGUCUUUAUACCAUAUUUGAUAAAGAGGAGGCUUUUGAUGUUGCAGAAGGAUAGUAAUGAUGACACUGAAGAUGUUUCACUGUUUGAUGUGGAAGAGAUGACUAAUAGACCAAGAAAAUAGAAAAUCAGACAUCCAGUAGUCAUCAUUUUUCCACUUUUCUUAUGAGUCAGUGCAAUGGUUACCUAUGUUCUCUGUGAGUUGCUCAGCAGCAGCUUUAUUAUCUGUAUGGUGACAAUUAUCUUGUUGUCAUGUUACUUUUGGGCCAUGAAGAAUGUCACAGGUAGACUAAUGGAUGGCCUACCUUGCUGGAAUCACAUUGAUGAAGAUGGAAAGAGCCAUUGGGUGUUUGAAUCUAGAAAGGAAUCCUUUCAAGAGAAUAAAACUGUGUCAGAGGCUGAAUCAAGAAUCUUUUGGUUGGGACUUAUUGCCUGUCCAGUGCUGUGGGUGAUACUUACCUUUAGUGCCCCCUUCUUCAGAGUAAAGUGGUUAAUGGUGGUUAUCAUGGGUGUGGUGCUACAAGGUGCCAACCUGUAUGGUUACAUCAGAUGUAAGGUAGGCAGCAGAAAGAAUUUAACCAGCAUGGCUACUUCAUGUCUUGGAAAGCAGUUUUUUGUUUUGUUUUGCUUUGUUUUGAGAUGGAGUUUCACUCUUAUUACCCAGGCUGGAGUGCAAUGGUGCGAUCUCAGCUCACCGACCUCCGCCUCCUGGGUUCAAGCAAUUCUCCUACCUCAGCCUCCUGAAUAGCUGGCUGCACCACCAUGCCCAGUUAAGUUUUGUAUUUUUUAGUAGAGACGGGGUUUCACUAUGUUGACCAGGAUGGUCUCAAUCUCUUGACCUAGUGAUCUACCCACCUUGGCCUCCCAAAGUGCUGGGAUUAUAGCCGUGAGCCACUGCGCCCGGCGGAAAGCAGUUUUUAAGACAAAUCACUGGAGGUGAUCAGAUUCCUGAAUAGAAAGCUUAUGUGCUUUGUUACAUUGGAGAACAACUGAAGAGAUUCUUGACUCUGAAUCUUUUAGAGCUUGGUCCAUGUUGCCACAAGGAGUGUUGGCUUUGUUUUUCCACUUAAAAACUUUAUUUAUAAAAAGGGAAGGUACUUUUCAUAUUAGGUUUUUAUUUCCUUUCCAGCAGUUGGGGCUAGGAAGUAUAUGUUGGCACUAGAAACAUUGUCAAGAUUUGUUCAGUGGUAUAGGUAUGCACAUGUUCUGUAGGUAUGCACAACACAGCCAUAUAAUAUCAAUAUAUCCCAGGUUAAUGAAAGUGUUCAUUUACAUAGCUAAUGGAGACCUUUACAUUUUGAUCCAAAGAACAUAGGAGGGUGUUCUUAGUCUGUCUCAAAGCUCUGUGGGUUUACAUAUUAUUUCUGUAGAUUAUUUUCAGAAGUAAGUUUUGCUUCCAUGGUAAGAGUGAGCACUUUGGCUUAUGUAUAAGUUGGAAAUAAUUGUUAGUUUUUAAUAUGUACCUCAUGGGAAAAUUUCUUAGACAUAUGCAAGCAAAUGAAAAUAAUUGGGUGAGUGGUAUUAACUAUUUUCUAAAAUUUUAUUUUUAUUUGUAAGAACUCAUUUACUUAAGGCCCAGUUAAUAUAAAUGGAAUCAUCAUAGUUUAUUUAACAAAUACACAGAGAUUGCUGCUGUUCUAUUUACAGAAAGAAUAGCUAGAUUGAAAGCUCUUCAGUGGAACUUGAGCUAAUACAUCUUUUACCACUAAAAGAGCAUUACUUUCAUGUCAUUAUAGGAAUAAUCAUUUACAUACUUGGCAUAAUAAAUGUCUAAAAGAUUUUAUUUUCUGAAUCUAUAUAUUUUUCUUGCUAUACUGGGGAUAUUGUAAAUUAUGUAUUUGUAUUAAUGGUAUUUCUUAAAGCAAUAGAUGUAACUGUAAACUAAAGCAAUAUACAAACUAUUUUAGGCACCUGUAAAUUCUGUUGUAGGUCCUAUAAACUUUGUUGAAGUCUUAAUCAGCAGAUUAUGUUGUGAAUAUAUUUGUACAUUGUUAAAAUGUUUUUAAAGAUUAUUUGUUUAAUUGAAUUAGUGUCUUAUUGGAGUGAUAGCUUUGAAGGUGCAAAACUUUGUUUUUGUAUAAAAUUCCUGUUUACAAGGCAAAAA